AUUGAACGCUGGCGGCAGGCCUAACACAUGCAAGUCGAGCGGAUGAAGGGAGCUUGCUCCUGGAUUCAGCGGCGGACGGGUGAGUACUGCCUAGGAAUCUGCCUGGUAGUGGGGGAUAACGUCCGGAAACGGGCGCUAAUACCGCAUACGUCCUGUGGGAGAAAGUGGGGGAUCUUCGGACCUCACGCUAUCAGAUGAGCCUAGGUCGGAUUAGCUAGUUGGUGGGGUAAAGGCCUACCAAGGCGACGAUCCGUAACUGGUCUGAGAGGAUGAUCAGUCACACUGGAACUGAGACACGGUCCAGACUCCUACGGGAGGCAGCAGUGGGGAAUAUUGGACAAUGGGCGAAAGCCUGAUCCAGCCAUGCCGCGUGUGUGAAGAAGGUCUUCGGAUUGUAAAGCACUUUUAGGUGGGAGGAAGGGCAGUAAGUUAAUACCUUGCUGUUUUGACGUUACCAACAGAAUAAGCACCGGCUAACUACGUG
rnacentral:rRNA from 1 species